GAUAGGGUGCCUGAAUAAAAGGGCUAUUUUGAUAGAAUAGAAUAUGUAUAAAUAUACCCCUAUUA
rnacentral:tRNA from 1 species